GUGACGUGUACAACUGCCGCACAAUUCCCCGCUUUCAUUGAAGGGAGCGCUUUUAGGCUUUUCCGUUUCUUUGACGAAACGGUGUUUCCGUCGAUCGAAGAAUUCCGAGCCAAAUCACUUUCACAAGCAAAACAAACAAAGAAGAAAAAUAAAACAGGAAAAUCAUAUUUUGAGUGAUUAAAGGAACAUGGCUACCAAAAAGAAUGAAUCAUCUCAGAAACAACAGAGGAUGGUUUUCAAAAAGGAUGAGCCCUCUAAAAGACAUCAGGGAGAUGCUGCAGUUGUGGCUUCUCCUGGUCCUCUUCCACAGGCUCCACCAACUCCAAAAUCUCGUGUUAGAAACUCGGUUUUAAAGAGUGGGCCACUUUUUUUAUCUACCAAAGCUUGUACUCACAUUUUACCAGAAAAAUAUACAUUACGAGGAAUUGGAUGGACAUCAUGGAAGAAAAGGUGGUUUAUUUUGACACAAACUUCGUUAGUUUUCUUCAAAAGUGAUCCUAGUGCCAUUCCUCAAAAGGAAAAUGAAGUGAAUUUAAUUCUUGGUGGUAUUGAUCUCAACAAUUCAGGCAGUGUGGUUGUCAAAGCUGAUAAAAAACUCUUAACUGUACUAUUUCAAGAUGGUCAAGAUGGACGGACGUUCACACUUAAGGCUGAAAGUUCAGAGGAUUUGUAUGAGUGGAAGGCUGCAUUUGAGAAUGCCUUGUCACAAGCACCAAGUUCUCCUCAUGUGUUGGGGAAAAAUGACAUCUUGGGGAAUGAAAAAGCAAACGCAGUUAAUGGUUCUAAGGACCCAGUGAACAAUAAGCAGCCUGUGAGAUCUACUGUCUUAGGCAAACCAAUUUUACUUGCACUAGAAGAUGUUGACGGAGCUCCAACAUUUUUGGAGAAGGCUCUAAGAUUUAUAGAAGAGCAUGGAACCAAAGCAGAAGGGGUCUUACGACUAGCUGCUGACGUUGAAGAUGUUAAGUGUCGAAUUCAGGAAUAUGAAAAGGGAAAAACUGAGUUCUCUCCUGAGGAGGAUCCACAUGUCAUUGCUGAUUGUAUCAAGUAUGUCAUUCGAGAGUUGCCAUCAUGUCCUGUCCCUGCUUCAUGCUGCAAUGCGCUACUAGAAGCAUAUCGAACUCUGGGUGGUGAUAGAGUCAACACUAUGCGUGAAGCAGUAUUGGACGCGUUUCCUGAGCCAAACCGUCGCCUACUACAGAGAAUUCUAAUGAUGAUGCGAGCUGUGGCUUCUAAUAAAACUUUAAAUCGGAUGAGCUCUUCAGCUGUGGCAGCAUGCAUGGCACCCUUGAUUCUUCGCCCCCUUGUAUCUGGUGACUGUGAGAUUGAAAACGAUUUUAACGCGGGUGAUGAUAGUUCAAUUCAACUGCUGCGAGCAGCUGCUGCAGCCAAUCAUGCUCAAGCCAUUGUUAUAACAUUACUCGAAGAAUAUGAUAAAAUAUUUGGGGAAGGAUAUGUUCCCCCCAAUUUAUACUAUGGAACGGAAGAGAGUGGAAGUGAAAGUGAAAGUGAAAGUGAAAGUGAAAGUGAAAGUGAAAGUGAAGAGGCAGCUGAUGAUGACUGUAAUGAUGCAACAUCUGGGUCUAAUGCAUACUGCGAUAGUGACUAUGUAGCAAGUGGAACAGGCAGUAAGAGCGGUCACUCUAUUAACAAUGAUCUGGAUGACGAUAAGGAUUCUGAUUAUUUGAGCUCUAGUUCUGAGCCCUCUAUAGCUGAUGGUGAUUUAAAAGCCACCAAGAAGCUUUCAAGUUCACUUCACUCUUCCCUGUCUGAAAAUGAUUUACAAAGGAGUGAGGAUAAUCAAAGUAACAAGAGUUCAGUAAUAGAGGCCAAUAUGUUUGCUGAAUUUGGCCAUAGAGCUAAGCGUCCCACUGUUUGGGGAUGGGCAAUUGCAAAGAAGAAGCUUUCUAUGGAACCUGUUCAUUUUCCUUCUAAAGAAGAGGCUGAAAUAGAGAGGAUCAAGGCUGAAAAAUCUGACUUGGAAAGGGGACACACAGAAGAGAUUGAAGGUAAUCUGGUUUAUGGAGCCUGCUUGGAAAAGCAAAAGAAGACACUGCAUGGGCAUUGUCAAGCUCUUCAGAAUGAUGUGUCAAGACUAGAGGAAGAGUUGCAUAGGGAAAGAGAUAAGAGGACAGCUCUGGAAGCUGGACUUACCCCUUCUCAAGGAACUGUAACUCUCCCAAAUACGGUUGAUGAAAAGAUAAAGGCAGAUAUUAAGGACAUAGCUCAAGCAGAGGCAGACAUAAACAAUUUGAACAAAAAGGUUGAUGAAUUGUGGAUGCAGCUGAAUCAACUACUUGAGCAAAAUUCUGUUUCCAUGAAUGAUAGGUCCAAUCGGCAUCAACCAAAUCAUCAAGAAAAAAGAGAAAGUGGUUGCUCGUUUUUGACGGGGUGGAUUACGUAGAGGUCGGGACAUUUUCGUUGUGGCUUGGAAUCGACAUCGAAUUUGCAGCGUCUUUUCAACGUUUUCAGUAAAGAAGGGACUAAAUUUGAGGCAAAAGCAAAAUUAAGGGCCAAAAGCGUGAAUUUAGAGAUAAAAUGGGCCAAUGUGCGACACAAGGAAAAGUUGGUGCCAAAAGUGCAAGCAUGGAGGACACAAAGGGCUGACGUUUUCGUCCAUGUCCCUUAAGAAGUAAGCUUUUCAACGUAUGCAAAGGCGGUCGCUUUAUAUGUUUUGGGAAGGUUGCACAGUCGGUUCGUUAGCUUACUGCGUCAGAGGUUGGCGAGCCAAAGAGACAAAAUGGCGUGGGAUUCGUCAUUGAGAAACGUUGAUCUAGCAUAAGACGAUUCCACAGAAGCAAUAAUUGGCUAGAGUAAGGUUCCACCAUAUCGUAAGUCUAAAUCAUUGGAGCUGGUGGUCGUAGGCGUCCUAUUCCACUAUAACUGGCUUAUUCGAUUUGGGAAGGAUCAUUUAAAAGCCGAGGAUUGAACCCAAGGUGGAACGAGACAACUGGAGGCUGAAAUCUCCCAUAAGAAUUUCUUUUCUCUCAACUCUAUUUUUAAUUUCUCUAAUUUUUGAUUCCAUAUUCUUAAAUUUGUUUUUAUUUUAUUUUUCGUUUUCAAAUCCAAACAUUUAAUUCUAUUAUUUUUUUAUUUUAUUUUUUUCAGGCACUCAAGUUUUCUUGGGUAAGAUUCUGCCUAGGAUUUCACGGAACAAGAUAUUUUGCAAGUCCAGUCCCUGAGGAUUUGACUCUACUUCCCUUUUAUUAUUCUUUUUCAUUAUUUAUUAGGGAUAGGAUAUUUUUGGUGCUUUCAACGACCGCAUCAAAUUUUGGCGCCGUUGCCGGGGACUGGCAACGUACUAAUCUGGUUUUUUUGUUUCUUAUGACCAGAUCUGCUCCAGGUACUCUUGCGUUCGAUUCAGAAAUUGAGAAGACUGCUAGAGCCAAUCGCAAGGAGACAAAGUUACGGAAAAAGCAACCAGUGGUGGUUGGAACUCAAAGUAACCCACCGCCAGAAAUCGAAGUCGACGACGAAGCUGAGUCUAGGGUUAACGAAAAUCCUACUCUAACACUUGAAAGCGAAAAGAUUUUUUCCUGCAUCUCGAGCAGCUGGGCUAAGAAGAGAGAUCGUUGGAAUAAGGCAAAAAGAAGCUGAGUCCCUUUACGAUUAUUGGGAACGGUUUAAGAAGUUCUGUGCAAGCUGUCCAUAACAUGGUAUAACGGAGCAAUCUCUCCUCCCAUACUUUUACGAAGGUUUGAAGCCCAUGGAGAUGAAUAUGGUAGACGCUGCUAGUGGAGGAGCAUUGGUCAACAUGACUCCCCAACAAGUGAGAGACUUGAUCUCCAUGAUGGCUGCAAAUUCUCAGCAGUUUCGAGCUAAUACUGAACCCCUAGAAGGGUUCACCAGCUAAGUAAUUCAGCCUUAGAGGAUAAAGUUGAUAGACUGUCUAAUAUGAUGAACUCUCUUAUUGCAGAAAAAGUGAAGACAACUCGAUUAUGCGGAAUAUGUGCUACACCUGAUCAUGCAACUGAUGCAUGUCCCAAUUUGUAUGAUGAUACCACGGCCCAUCUGGAUGCUGUGGGAAAUUUUCCUGGGCCACCACAAAGGCAGUACGACCCCUAUGCUAAUACCUACAACCCAGGACCAUCCUAUCUUAAGUUAUGGGGCCAAUCCACGAAAUAACCAACCAUACCAUAAUCGAUUUUCGCAACAACUGCAAGGUUCAGGUAAUUUUCUAGAAACCAUGGUCAAUAAGUUAACAGCUAAUGUUCUUGAUUUUCAGCAGCAAACUCUUAAUUUCCAAAAAGAGAUGAAGAUUUCCAACAGAAAACUGAGGCGUCCAUCAGAGAGUUGACCACAUCGAUCGAGAAAUUGACCUAUCAAGGGAAGCUGCCAUCACAAACAUAACCAAACCCUAGACAAAAUGCAAAUGCAGUGACGUUGCGAAGCGGAAAGGUACUGGAACCAAUUCCUGAUAGGAAUCUUGUCCAAGAAAUUGCCCAGGAAAAACUCGAGAAAGACGAAUAGGUCCGAC